CCCAUCUAGUGCAGCGGAUCCAGUCUCAUACACUGAAUCGUCUAUCGAUAGUUUUUUCCGUUGUUAGAUAAUUCCGGUUCUCUACUCUUCCUAGCCGUGAACAUCCUCUAGAGGGUCCAAGGCUAAAGAAGUUAUCUGGGGAGUUACUGAGAACUGCAGCAGGGGGAUGGCAACGCUACCUCGGUGUUACCGGCCGUUGGUCCUAUUCCAUGCAUCUCAGUUCUCUGGUGCGAAAAGAAGGAUUCCAAUCCACAACCAUCAUCGUUCUCUGAUGAAGCGACAUCCCAUUAACGCCUUUUUCUUCAGAUACAAAGAAAACAAUUAUAAUCGCCGUCAGAGCUUCUGCUGCUUCAGCUCUUUGGAAUCUCAAUCUUCUGUUGAUAACGAAAGUAAUCAUAGUAACGAUGGAGAGAAGCAACAAGGACCCAGUUCGGAGCUUUGGUUAUACAAUACCAUGAGUAGACAGAGGGAACUCUUCAAGCCCAAGAUUCCUGGUAAAGUCGGAAUGUAUGUUUGUGGCAUUACCGCCUAUGACCUCAGUCACAUCGGCCAUGCCCGCGUCUAUGUCUCAUUCGAUGUCCUGUAUAGAUAUCUAAGGUAUUUGGGAUAUGAUGUCUGUUACGUACGCAACUUCACCGAUGUUGAUGACAAGAUAAUUGCUAGAGCAAAUGACCUUGGAGAGGAUCCAUUAAGUCUAAGCAGACGUUACUGCAAGGAAUUCCGUCAUGAUAUGGUGUAUCUCAAUUGCCUCCCCCCUUCUGUGGAACCACGUGUCUCUGACCACAUGCCUCAAAUUAUUUAUAUGAUUAAACAGAUUCUUGAUAAUGGUUGUGCCUACAGAAUUGAUGGGGAUGUAUACUUUUCUGUAGACAAGUUCCCUGAUUAUGGAUGUCUAUCUGGCAGGAAAUUGGACGAUAAUCGAGCUGGUGAAAGGGUUGCUGUGGAUUCCAGGAAACAAAAUCCUGCUGAUUUUGCAUUAUGGAAAUCUGCAAAGGAGGGAGAGCCAUUCUGGGAGAGUCCAUGGGGACCUGGACGACCGGGGUGGCAUAUUGAAUGCAGUGCGAUGAGUGCUGCUUAUCUUGGUUACUCUUUUGAUAUUCAUGGUGGAGGGAUGGAUCUUGUUUUUCCUCACCAUGAAAACGAAAUUGCUCAGAGUUGUGCAGCCUGUGGACAGAGCAAUGUAAGCUAUUGGAUGCACAAUGGAUUUGUCACUGUUGACUCAGAGAAGAUGUCCAAAUCACUUGGAAAUUUUUUCACAAUUCGUCAGGUUAUAGACCUAUAUCAUCCUCUGGCUUUGAGGCUUUUCUUGCUGGGGACUCACUAUAGAUCACCAAUAAAUUACUCAGUCGCACUGCUUGAAAGUGCAUCGGAUCGUGUUUUCUAUAUCUAUCAGACAUUACGUGAUUGUGAAGAGAUGUUAUGCCAACAUGAUGGAGCAAUCCAGGACUCUCUUCCACCUGAGACUUUGAGUUGCAUCAUUAAAUUCCGUAGUGAUUUUCAGACUUCUAUGUCUGAUGAUCUUCACACUCCUGUUGUUUUGGCUGCACUAUCUGAACCACUGAAAACUAUUAAUGAUCUCCUGCAUACUCGUAAAGGGAAGAAGCAGGCACUACGGAUUGAAUCUGUUUCAUCUCUUGAAAGGGAAAUUAGGAAUGUUUUGACUGUUCUUGGAUUGAUGCCUACAAGUUAUUCCGAGGCUUUGCAGCAAUUGAGGGAAAAGGCAUUGAAGCGAGCAGACUUGACAGAAGAUCAAGUUCUGCAGAAAAUUGUGGAAAGGACUUCAGCAAGGAUGAAUAAGGAAUAUGAGAAAUCAGAUGGAAUCAGGAAAGAGUUGGCUGCAGUGGGUAUUGCUCUAAUGGAUGGCCCUGAUGGGACAACAUGGAGACCAAGUGUGCCACUGUCACUGCAAGAGCAUCAAGUUUCUAGUUGAAUGGCUUCUAGGGCCAAUAUUGUCAUGCCCUACUGUUUUGUUCAUGCAGAAAUUCAGGGAUUCAAUUCAAAACCCUAGGACUGCAGCACAACAUAAUCAAUUAACUUAUCUCCUCCACAAUCCACAUCUAUUCACUAGAGGUAUCUUGGGUAAAAAAGCUUUGACAUAGUCCUUCACCAUCACCUUACUGAAUGGCCUGAUUCACAGGACUGAGGGGUCAGAAAUUCUUUUUGUUUUUUUUUUGUUUUUGAUUCUUUAGGAAGAUUGGAGGUAAUAGGAAUGAACGGGUACGGAACUGCUAUUACCAACCAAACGCUCCCAACACUGUCCCAACAGCUGCAGCUGCACAUUGGGAACAUCUCCCUUGUCAUUCAUGUGAGAUGUUCCCAAUGUGCGACUGUAAUAGCUUGUUGGGACAAUGUUGGGAGCAUUUACUGGGAACAGAACUGAGUUGGGAAUGAACUGUAUUGGGAAGUAGUGGUUCCUUAGAAGGGAUGGCUGAAUAUGAUGUGAGAGAUCAUGUAGUUGGAUUAGUCUUCAAGUAGGGUGCAAAUCGGGUACCCAGUUUGAUGUUGAUCGGCAUUUCUUCAAAGAGAAGGACUACAACUUGAGGCAUGCAAGCUUGGUACGAGAAGCUGCAAUGGCAGAAACCAACCCAGCAAUGCCUCCAUCAGUCACUCCUGUCUUAGUCCAACUUCAACCAUGUGUCUGCAAUUGGCACCAAUGGUCUGAAGCUGAAAGCAGACAGUCCAGCACUCCAGCCCUAUCAGUUCUAAUUGAAUUAGAUUUGUCAAUUCUUUCAAUUGGUAGAUAAGCGCGUCAAGCUCCUUUAUGCCAGAUAAGCUCAUCUCUUCACACCUUGAUACAUCAAUAAUUCGAUUUUCUGGUUCCUUGCAACACUUUUUUGGUAUUUCUUCAAUAAUUUUGCUAGAGUGGAAUGCAUGAGAAUUCAUCUACCUUUUUGUUCAACCAGGAGAUAGGAGGUCCAACUCUGUUUUCUGAGCCUCCGGAUCAUCUAGCAACACCUUACCAUUUUAUUUCUGAGCCUCGUCCGGCACCACCCUGAGUCAGUCCCAAAAGCAAGGAUCACUGUACCAUUGACAACAGUCAAGCACCGGGGUGCCCCAAAACUGCCAGGAACCGAAGUGUAUUUUCUGCCUAUAGCAUUUCUGUGUUUCGCUUGCAUUGCUUUGUUACUUUUCUUUUGCUUGCUUGACCAAGUAGAGAAGCCAGGAGUGUGUUCACUUGUGAUUGGUUAUGUAACAAGUGAUAUACAGUGAUGCGAGCAGCAGAACCAGGCUCCCAUAAAGAAAGGGCGAAGCUAAUUCACCAAAUAAAACAGAUGAUUAAGCCACUUAUGUAGUUAGUGCCCAUUUGGAGGGCUUUCAUGCAGCGAUUUCUGGCUUUGCAAGGUGGAACUCAUAUAAGAAAAAAA